AUUGAACGCUGGCGGCAUGCCUUACACAUGCAAGUCGAACGGCAGCAUGGAAGAGCUUGCUCUUCUGAUGGCGAGCGGCGGACGGCUGAGUAACGCGUGGGAACAUGCCCCAAAGUGAGGAAUAACUGCCCGAAAGGGUAGCUAAUGCCGCAUAUGAUCUUCGGAUUAAAGGAUUUAUCCGCUUUGGGAGUGACCUGCGUACGAUUAGAUAGUUGGUGAGGUAAUGGCUCACCAAGUCUACGAUCGUUAACUGGUUUUGAGAGGAUGAUCAGUCAGACUGGAACUGAGACACGGUCCAGACUCCUACGGGAGGCAGCAGUGAGGAAUCUUCCACAAUGGACGAAAGUCUGAUGGAGCAACUCCGCGUGCAGGAUGAAGGCCUUCGGGUCGUAAACUGCUUUAUGAGUGAAGAAUAUGACGGUAACUCAUGAAUAAGGGUCGGCUAACUACGUAGCCAGCAG
rnacentral:rRNA from 1 species